UAAAAGGGCUACAAGACAGAGUGUUG
rnacentral:piRNA from 1 species